GUCCACGCCGUAACGAUGUCUACUAGCCGUUGGGAGACUUGAUUUCUUAGUGGCGCAGCUAACGCAAUAAGUAGACCGCCUGGGGAGUACGGCCGCAAGGUUAAACUCAAAUGAAUUGACGGGGCCCGCACAAGCGGUGGAGCAUGUGGUUUAAUUCGAUGCAACGCGAAGAACCUUACCAGGUCUUGACAUCCAGAGAACUUGGCAGAGAUGCCUUGGUGCCUUCGGGAGCUCUGAGACAGGUGCUGCAUGGCUGUCGU
rnacentral:rRNA from 1 species